CCAACGUGGAUACCCUGUGAGGUCACUCUCGCAGGCUCUGUCCAUGUGGCGUAUGGGAGCGUAGCGUCUGCGGGCGCAGUGAUGUACAGUCCCCUUCCACGACGUUGGAUAACAUGCACGUUCCCAGCCCUGUGGCUGGUGUGGACGGCAUCCUGUAUAUUCCUACACCUUCCCAGAGCUCUCGGGCUAUGACUGGGGAGACAAACCAUGCAGGAUACAAAU